UUUAAGCUUCUGUUGCUCUGAAAAUGUACCUCACUGACCAUUUGUCUAUUUAUUGUGUACUUCUUGCAUGAGGAUGUGACUAGUGAUGCGACGCGCCAAGCAGCAGUAGGGGAAGGGGGUCUCCUACUCGAGGAGGCGGAGUAGGGGCGUGCCCAGCUAGCAGCCCUGUCCUCCUCGUGGGGGAGGGGCAGGAGGGGUCUGCUCCCCUGCUUCCAUUGCGACCGUGGCAGGAAUCAAUGAUGCCGACCUCAUUGCUGGGCACUGUGCUUUUGGUGUAUGAUAUGGCUGGGAGAAAACACACAGUUCCCUGCUGGUUUAUUACAUAUCAGCCAGUACUGUACGGAGUAGUAUAUAAGGACGUCUUACUGUAGUAUGGCUGAGGCAGUGACCAGCUUGGUAGUUAGUACUAGCUGAGAAAAUUCAUGAUGCUAGCUGGGAGCAAAAAGUUUAUAGGCUUAGUUGCUGUAUUGGUUCUGUUGUUGUAUGGGUAUAUAUGCAUAGAUAUGUAACAUGUGGGUUCCAAGCAUGCUUC